CUACGGACUUAAUUGGAUUGAGCCUUGGUAUGGAAACUUACUAAGUGAUCACUUUCAAAUUCAGAGAAACCCUGGAAUGAACAAAAAUGGGCAAUCCUGAGCCAAAUCCUAUUUUCUGAAAACAAAUAAAGGUUCAGAAAAAAAGGAUAGGUGCAGAGACUCAAUGGAAGCUAUUCUAACAAAUGGAGUUAAAUGUGUUGGUAGAGGAAUCUUUACAUCGAAACUUCAGAAAGAAAAAGAAUGAAGUGAAGGAUAAACGUAUAUACAUACGUAUUGAAUACUAUAUCAAAUGAUUAAUGACGACCCGAAUCCCUGAUCAAAUCAUUCACUCCAUAGUCUGAUAGAUCUUUUGAAGAACUGAUUAAUCGGACGAGAAUAAAGAUAGAGUCCCGUUCUACAUGUCAAUACCGG
rfam:Capsicum annuum cultivar Zunla-1 unplaced genomic scaffold scaffold4217, whole genome shotgun sequence